rnacentral:rRNA from 1 species
ACUCCUACGGGAGGCAGCAGUGGGGGAAUAUUGCACAAUGGGGGGAAACCCUGAUGCAGCCAUGCCGCGUGUGUGAAGAAGGCCUUCGGGUUGUAAAGCAACUUUCAGUAGGGAGGAAGGUAGUGUAGUUAACACCUGCACUAUUUGACGUUACCUACAGAAGAAGCACCGGCUAACUCCGUGCCAGCAGCCGCGGUAAUACGGAGGGUGCGAGCGUUAAUCGGAAUUACUGGGCGUAAAGCGCAUGCAGGCGGCCUGUUAAGUCAGAUGUGAAAGCCCGGGGCUUAACCUCGGAAUUGCAUUUGAAACUGGUAGGCUAGAGUCUUGUUAAGAGGGGGGUAGAUUUCAGGUGUA